GCGGGCCCUCUGGGCGGGACCUUCGGGAAUCUCCCGCUGCAACCGGAGCCUUCUGGAUUCAUUUGCGCCUCCCCUCCCUCUUACCACUUCGUUCCAGCUUCUCAUCCUGAGCUACAGACAUUUUAAAUCUAGAUCGGAAGAGCAAGGCGUUAACCAAGGCCAAAUGGUUGAGCCAACAAUUCAUCCCUUCAGCAAGCGUUUAUCGAGCACUUACUGUGUAGCAAGCCCUGUGCCAGGUCUUGGGCAGGAGGUGGAGAAGGCUUCCAUCUAUUUUCAGCAGGUGUUGGAAAACCAACAUAUAUUGAUAGCCACCGGCUCAAGGCAAUUUAGUAAAGUCCGACCUUGCACUUUUGAGGCAGGCAGCAGAACCACUGAGCUAAAUCCCGGUCCAGUAAUCCUGUGUUGAUGAAGAUCUUCUGUUGAUGAGGUCCAUGAAGUAUGCUGCUGGGAUUUCAGUUGGGAUUGCAUUGAAUCUAUAUAGCAGUUUUGGAAGUAUGGCCAUUUUCACUAUGUUGAUCCUUCCUACCCAGGAGCAAGGCUGCAGGCUGCUGGGACCCAUGAACAUAAGGAGUGAGGAGGAGGCAAGGAGAGGCAACUUGGAGGAUGUGUUCCCAGAUCUCUG
rnacentral:lncRNA from 1 species